UAUAGCUCAGUCGGUAAACACUGAGACUCUUAAUCUCAGGGAUGUGGGUUAGAGUCCCACAUUGGGCAAAA